CAGUCGUGUCCAACUCUUCGCGACCCCAUGGACUGCAGCCUACCAGGCUCCUCCGUCCAUGGGAUUUUCUAGGCAAAAGUACUGGAGUGGGGUGCCAUUGCCUUCUCUGCAAAUCUUCACUAGCCUUCUGCAGACUUAGUGCCCUGCUGUGUGGUAUGGAGGAUCUUAUUUUCCCAAUCAGGGAUUGAAUCUGCACCUCCUGCAGUGGAAAUGCAGAAUCUUAACCAAUGGACCACCAAGUAAUACAUUUUUAAUGAAAGGAAUACUGAAACUGUCAACUGGUAAAACUCAUUCUUCCUAACUAAUGGAGAACUAGAGUUGAGGGAAAUAAUAAGGUCUGGUGAGUUGCCUUAAACCACUCUUCUGGAACUGCUAAUCUAUACCAGCAAUUUUGCAUUAAGGCAUAACAAGAUAUAAAAGGGAA